GAUGAAUGCUGGCGGCGCGCCUAACACAUGCAAGUCGAGCGGAAAGGCCCUUCGGGGUACUCGAGCGGCGGACGGCUGAGUAACGCGUGGGAACAUGCCCCAAAGUGAGGAAUAACUGCCCGAAAGGGUAGCUAAUGCCGCAUAUGAUCUUCGGAUUAAAGGAUUUAUCCGCUUUGGGAGUGGCCCGCGUACGAUUAGGUAGUUGGUGAGGUAAAGGCUCACCAAGCCUACGAUCGUUAACUGGUUUGAGAGGAUGAUCAGUCAGACUGGAACGGAGACACGGUCCAGACUCCUACGGGAGGCAGCAGUGAGGAAUCUUCCACAAUGGGCGAAAGCCUGGUGGAGCGACGCCGCGUGCAGGAUGAAGGUCUUCGGGUUGUAAACUGCUUUUAUAAGUGAAGAAUAUGACGGUAACUUAUGAAUAAGCACCGGCUAACUACGUGCCAGCAGCCGCCGUA
rnacentral:rRNA from 1 species